rnacentral:lncRNA from 1 species
AAGAUCGAAGUUUAUUUCCAUAUCCUCCUAAAAUCCAUAUGCCUUGGCUAGAGCUUGCCAAUUUGAGCACCCUAAUUAUGUGUUAUUAAUUGCAUUCAUUACUUUGAUGAGAAAUGUGUGAACAUGUUUAGUCCUCGGGUUAGCUCUCCUCAUCUCCAUACUCUCGUGGUCUUUAAAACCGAACCUCUCCAAGAUAUACCUUCUUGCAUGGCAGGGGAGGAACUAGUCGAAUUUUAUAAAACAGAAAUUACACGUUGAAGCAAAGAAACAGAAAUCAUGCUUAACUAAGAAAAAACACUUGUCAUCGUUGCAUACUGCGCAAACAUCAAAGGUCUCGUCAAGCUUGAUAGUGAAGAACCCGUUGUCUCGCAGGUGACGCGUGUCGCAGACACCCUGAUAGUCGCCAUAGAGUUCACACUCCCAUAAUCAUCUUCAGACAUUUCCUCUGUUUCCGGAUUAAUUGCAAUGAAGUCAACU